GACGAACGCUGGCGGCGUGCUUAACACAUGCAAGUCGAACGAAGCUUGAUGACGGAUUCUUCGGUGGAAGUAUGAUAUGACGGAGUGGCGGCCGGGUGAGUAACUCGUUAGUAACCUGCCCUUCAGAGGGGGAUAGCGUUUUGAAACCAACGGUAAUACCGCAUAAUGUAUUUUGACCGCAUGAUCGGAUUAUCAAAGAUUUGUCACUGAAGGAUGGACUCGCGUCGGUUUAGGUAGGUGGAGAGGUAACGCCCUACCAAGACGGCGAUCAGUAGCCGGAGUGAGGAGUCGAUCGGCCAACUCGGGACUGAGGCACCGGCCAGGAUUCUUCGGGAGGGAGCAGUGGGGAAUCUUGGAAAAGGGGCGCAAGCCUGAAGCAGCAACGGCGCGUGAAGGAAGACUGUUUUCGGAGUGGAAACGUCUGUUUUUAGUGGAGAAUAAUGACGGUAGCUAAGGAGCAAGCCACGGCUAACUACGUG
rnacentral:rRNA from 1 species